UUAUUUGCUUUCCAUACUUUGAAUAACAAUUGAGAAUACACGCAUGAUAAAAUCAUUGCAUGUCAGUGGUACGUACUAUCAGUUGUUUAAUUUCUCUUAUUCCAAAAUCCAAAUGAUGGCAACUUAAUGCCCUUGGCUGAAUGAUGAUGAAAAGAAAGGAAAUUCGUUCAUUUAUUCUAAUUUAUUAGUUGUGAUAUUCAUUGUGAUGUCUAAAAAAGGAAGUAAUUCCGAGAAAGCGGAACCGUGGUGGAAGCAGUACAGGUGAGAACCUCACCAUCUGCUGUCACUGUAUAUGUUUCUGGAUCUACUGUGAUAUUAGGAAGGGCAUCAUUGAGCUUCAUGUCAAGUUUAGUGAGUCUCCUAACAUUGCCUACGGCUUCCACUCUUUUGCUGAGUCCAUACAAAGCCUUUAUCCCAUUAUACGCUGCGAUCUUGCUGACAAAAGCAACGGAGUUAGCACUUCCAGCCUUGCCAAAGGCUCCAAACAUAGGUCUUGAAAUCACCGGUUCAGGUGUGGGGAUGCUUGCAUUUGGAUCACCCAUUUCAGCCCAUGCAAUUACACCACCCUUAAUCACCAUUUCUGGUUUUGCCCCAAAGAAAGAAGGCUUCCAUAAAACAAGAUCAGCCAACUUUCCCACCUCAACUGAACCAAUUAAUUCAGCAAACCCAUUUGCUACUGCUGGGUUUAUAGUGUACUUUGCAAUAUAUCGUUUGAUACGGAAGUUAUCAUUGUCUGAUCCACCAGGACCAAUUGAUCCCCUAUGUGAUUUCAUUUUGUGAGCAGUUUGCCAAGUUCUGCUUAUGACCUCUCCAAUGCGUCCCAUAGCUUGCGAAUCAGAAGAUAUAAUGCUAAUUGCCCCCAAAUCAUGCAAUAUAUCCUCCGCAGCGAUUGUUUCAGCCCUUAUCCUUGAUUCAGCAAAAGCUACAUCUUCUGGAAUGUCUUUGUCAAGAUGAUGGCAGACCAUCAGCAUAUCAAGAUGUUCAUCGAUGGUAUUGGAAGUGUAAGGCCGGGUAGGGUUUGUUGAUGACGGUAGGACAUUUUUUACACCACAUACUUUGAUAAUAUCUGGAGCAUGACCUCCACCUGCACCUUCACUGUGAUACGCAUGAAUUGUUCUUCCUUUAAAUGCAGCAAUUGUGUGUUCCACGAAUCCAGAUUCAUUCAAGGUGUCUGUGUGGAUAUUGACCUGUAUGUCAUAUUCUUCUGCGACAGUCAAACAAUUGUCUAUUGCAGCAGGAGUAGUUCCCCAGUCCUCAUGCAACUUUAGUCCCAUUGCCCCAGCCUUGAUUAUUUCUUGUAGCUCAUCAGGUUUGGCACCAUUACCUUUUCCAGUGAACCCAAAAUUCAGAGGCAGGUCAUCAGUAGAUUGCAGCAUCAAUUUCAUUUGUGAUGGAGCAGGAGUGCAGGUAGUUGCACGUGUCCCAUCAGCGGGUCCUGUUCCACCUCCCACAAGUGUUGUGAUGCCACUUGAUAUUGCCUCGUAUGCAAGCUGGGGGCAUAUGAAGUGCACAUGACAAUCUAUGGCCCCUGCAGUUACAAUCAUUCCUUCGCCCGCAAUAACCUCAGUGUUAACUCCAAUGAUCAUAUCAGAAUGAACAUUAUUCAUGAUAUCAGGAUUUCCUGCUUUUCCAAUAGCAGCAAUAAGACCACCUCUAAUACCAAUAUCUGCCUUGUAGAUUCCACUGUAAUCAAUGAUCACAGCAUUUGUUAUCACAGCAUCAAGAGAGUCAACUGGUUGAUGCCCACAUGACUGGCCCAUUCCAUCCCUUAUAACUUUCCCACCUCCAAAAACACAUUCAUCCCCAUAAAUAGCAAAAUCUCUUUCAAUUUCAGCAUAAAGAUUGGUAUCACCAAGCCGGAUUUUGUCACCCGUAGUAGGGCCGUACAUGUUAGCAUAGGCCUCAUGAGAAACAACAGUGGUGAAAUCAGAAUCUUCUCCAGUUACACCUUCACGAGCAUUUUCUUCUUCCUGAUUCCCAAAUCCUCUUGAUUUUACAGUUUCUGAUACUGCUGCAUAAUUGGCAUCAUCAACUGGACCAUCAACAAUGCCAUUUCCGCCUCUGAUAACCUUUUU
rnacentral:misc_RNA from 1 species